rnacentral:lncRNA from 1 species
CGGUUCCCUUAACCUGAAUUUCUUUUCCAGACUUACUUCCAAACUGUCUAUCUUCAGUAUGCUUCUAAUUCCUCAGAAAGUAUUUUCACUUUUCUCUUAUGAUUUUCCUCUCACAAUCAAUAUCAUUUGUCAUUCCAAUGUUUGGUCAAUAUGUUGUAGUAAAUAUAUAACAAAAUUAUAUAUGUUAUGCAGACAUUUUCCG